rnacentral:rRNA from 1 species
UACGUAGGGGGGCAAGCGUUGUCCGGAUUUAUUGGGCGUAAAGAGCGUGUAGGCGGCCAAGCAGGUCAGCUGUGAAAAACUCGAGGCUCAACCUCGAGACGUCGGUUGAAACCGCUUGGCUAGAGUCCGGAAGAGGAGAGUGGAAUUCCCGGUGUAGCGGUGAAAUGCGCAGAUAUCGGGAAGAACACCCGUGGCGAAGGCGGCUCUCUCGGGACGGUACUGACGCUGAGACGCGAAAGCGUGGGGAGCGAACAGG